UGAGGCUGAGGUAGUAGAUUGAAUAGUUGUGGAGUCCGAUCCUCCCUUUGAGCAAACUAUACAAUCUACUGUCUUUCCUAA
rfam:Columba livia unplaced genomic scaffold scaffold454, whole genome shotgun sequence.